rnacentral:rRNA from 1 species
CGGUAAUUCCAGCUCCAAUAGCGUAUACUAAAGUUGUUGCAGUUAAAAAGCUCGUAGUUGGAUUUCUGCGGGGACGGAGCGGCCGGACGCAACUUGCGUCUCGAGCUAGCGCUUUCCCCGCAUCCUGCCGCGAACCGUGCUACCAUUAGCUUGGUGGCGCUGGGGAUCGGCUCGAUUACUUUGAGAAAAAUAGAGUGUUCAAAGCAGGCCACACGCCUUGAAUAAGUUAGCAUGGAAUAAUGACUAAGGACUUUGGUUCUUUUCGUUGGUGUUCGGGACUGAAGUAAUGAUUGAUAGGGACAGUUGGGGCGGUCUGUAUUCCAAAGCGAGAGGUGAAAUUCUUAGACCUUCGGAAGACAAACAGCUGCGAAAGCGUUCCGCAAGGAUGUUCCCUUUGAUCAAGAACGAAAGUUGGGGGAUCGAAGACGAUCAGAUACCGUCGUAGUCUCAACUAUAAACUAUACCAGCUAGGGAUCGGCCAACGUUUAAUUAUUCGACUUGGUCGGCACCUUAUGAGAAAUCAAAGCAUCUGGGUUCCGGGGGGAGUAUGGUCGCAAGGCUGAAACUUAAAGGAAUUGACGGAAGGGCACCACCAGGCGUGGAGCCUGUGGCUUAAUUUGACUCAACACGGGAAAACUUACCAGGUCCAGACAUAGGAAGGAUUGACAGAUUGAUAGCUCUUUCUUGAUUCUGUGGGUGGUGGUGCAUGGCCGUUUUUAGUCGGUGAAGUGAUUUGUCUGCUUAAUUGCGUUAACGGACGAGACCCCAGCCUGCUAAAUAGCGCGGCCGAGCUUUGCUCGGUGCGAGCUUCUUAGAGGGACCAUGAUGCGCGAUAGCACAAGGAAGUUUGGGGCAACAACAGGUCUGUGAUGCCCUUAGAUGUUCUGGGCCGCACACGGGCUACACUGGCGCCUGCAACGAGCAUAUCAGCUGGCCCGAGAGGGUCUUGGCUAAUCUUUGGAACCGGCGCCGUGCUUGGGAUUGACCAUUGCAAUUGUUGGUCAUGCAACGAGGAAUGCCUUGUAAACGCGAGUCAUCAGCUCGCAUUGAAUACGUCCCUGCCCCUUGUACACACCGCCC